ensembl:lncRNA
CUGGAACAUACACAAGUACAGAAGCAAUUAUGCUGUGCAUCAGUGCACAACCACAUACACACAAGUGUGCACCACAGUACAGCUCCUUCAAGACAUUCCCCAAGAAACCUUCAAGCAUGAACAGUGUAUAUUUUAAAUAGUUUUUUUAUUAAUAUGUGCUGAUACAAGGUCGCUUUGACCUGCAAUGAUGGAAACACUCACAGAAAAUCAUCCCCUUUGGCCCAAACAGCUAUCAAAGCAAUGAGUGUGAGAAAACAAAAAUCAAAUAAGACAAAUGAACAUGAUUCCUAAAAGAAAACCAAAGUGUUAUAUUUACCUCAGUUUACAAAUGUCUCAGCAGUACAUAUUAAAUUAUCCAUUUCAUAGAAAAAUCACAGAAAGCUCUAGAUAUGGUGCUAUAUGUAGAACCCCACAUGGCACAAUGUCAGUGCUCACGCUGCCAUAUAGCUUGCUAUGUAAUAACCACUAGCACCCAAUGAUUUACCUCCUUAAUGUUAAGCAUUUCAGGUAUGUGUAAUACUGACCAAGUUCCAUUGUACUGAGCUAAUUAAUACAGCUCUCAGAUGAUCAUCAGGAUAUCCCAUCCAUAACCACUGAAGCCAGAUAUUAUACAUCUGGUGACAGACACCACAUGGGGCUGAAUUUUUUGGCCUGUCCCAUGGAUGAUCAUGGAUUGAGAUUACUACAGCCAUGAACAGGUGCAUGUAGGAACUGUUCAACUCCCCCCAAACCUCAAGCAAGAAAGAAAAAGACAGAUUCAGCCUGCUCCAGCUGUGUCAAUUGUUUUAUUCUUGAACCUUGUAAUGUCAACAUGUUUAAUCGUUUGGAGAAACCCUUGUUGUCCAGGAGCCCCGGGUGUUGCUGGUACCACGCUGUGUAUUAAAGAUCAGAACUUUCCUGAAAUGCUGGCACAGCUCCACAGACACAUACUCAACACAAAAGUUAAAGAGCAAAAGUUCAUUAUUGUGUUCAUCCAGUACCUCUAAAGAGUCUUAGUAACUACUUUAAAGGAGUCAUGUGGAGAAGAAGAAAUCAAUAACAAAAUAGUACUACCAUAUGAUUUGUUUAUAUUUGCUCUUUAAAAAUCUCUUUAGGAAAAUCAUGGUGCAUUUGCAGGCACUGUAAAAAUCGUGCUUUAAUUGGCUGAUGCGGCAGUGGUCUCAUUUUCACAUUUUUUUUUGUUAAAGGAAGCAUCCGUUAGCUCAAACAAUCCCAUCAUCUUUCUUUCCAUCACAGGCAGAUUUGUUUUAUGAAUGAACUUGAGAUCUGACAUGCCAGCUUGAUCAAUUUAAACCAUAAAGUAAUAACUUCUGGUCUGCAAACCACCGUCAGAAAGCAAUCUGAAACAAAGUAGCACAUCCAUCUCCUUAUCUCCAGAUACGCUCCUGCACAGCCUCACUGCAAACCCCUCUCACCAGCCGUCCCUCCCUCUCUCACCGCCUAUGGCUAUAUAUUUGUGACAUCUGUGACAUCUCUGCUGAUGCUGUCCCUCCUCAGUCCUCCUCACGGGCCAGUCUUUGCAGACAUAAUGACCCUCUGCUCCUCUGGCGCUGUUGAAUUCACACACCGCUGUCCUGCCGCUUCUGUACCGCCCUCCUGGUGUGAUAUGGUCCACACAAAAAUGUCUGCGUGUGAAUGGGUCAACUGUGAGUGAACAGACUGAAGUCCUGCUGGGACCGCUGUCUAAUGAUAGACUGAACAAUGGCACAAGCUGCAGGGGUGAAACAGCACUGUGUCAAAGGUUGGGCAUCCAACCUUUUAAACAACUUCCCACAUAACCACUAAAGCUCACACGUCAGGCCUGCCACUGGCUUGGAAGGUUUGCAAAUCUAGACAGAAAACAAGAGAAUGGAGGUGAGCGAGAGUGAGUUCACAACAAUAAAUUAGUACCCACUGUGUUAUUAUUGUAAUCAGAGGUUUGAAGGGCUUUGAAUGGUGAAGAAACUCCCAUCGUGAGAGCCUCCAUCCGACAGCGUGGGCCGCGAACCUUCUCCUGUAUAAUCACCAUCAUUUACAGCAGUGCAGCCCUCCACUGUUUAUUGAGAUAUUAAUCUGGGAUAAACAAAGCUUUUGACAAAACAAAUUAACACUCUCAAAGAAGUGCUGCACUAAUGGAGUCCACUGAGAUUGAUAUUAAAAUGUGGAUGAGUUUUGGGGGGAGGGCCCUGGGUAGUGCUGGAAAAAAAAAAGAAAAAAGAGAGAGAAGCAGGCCCAAGGUGACGCACAUUCCUCUUCGCAAAGGGAGUGUCUGUCUAAACAGCGUUUCCCCCUGGGGCGAGUCCCAGCUGAACACUGGAGAUCAGCAUCAGCAAGUUAUAUCAAAUACAAUGAGAGCAGGAUAAUGAUGAUGGUGUUGAGAACAAAGAGGAUACGGAUAAUGAUGGCCAUCUUGAGAUUCCCAUUAACACUUCCACCCUGGAGUGAAUUGUUUUAUCUUCAGUCUUGCUUGUUAAAAUACAUUCAAGUUGUCCUCAGUUGACCAGUGAGUGCUACUAUGAUACCGAGCCCCCACCGCUAAUUCAGCCACAAGUCCCGCGCCGCAGCAGAGCCCAACACAUGUCCAUAUUGUCUCUUCAUUUGUAAACCGACAGCUCUGAAGCUACAAAUCCAAGUGACGCAUGUAUCAUCAGACCAGUAUUGCACAUGUUUCCCCUAUGGCUCAAGUGAUGAUACCGCAACCUUUUCCUUUGAGCCUCAUCACGAUCUGUGUCCCAUACAAUGUUACUUACACAAAUGAUCAGAAUAGCAAGGAAAAACGGCGGCAAAUCCGUGUAAUCCCCUUCCCUUAUCUGUCUUUAACCCCUCUCUCGCUCGCUUUCAGCCCCAGGAGCCUUAGCUAAAAAGCUGUCCUUUGGGUUCUCUUAGAAGUGGGACACUCAGGCCCUAGCCAAAUGUCACACUGCAGUGGAUGCAUCUAUUUUCUGCUCACGUCGUAUCCACACAUCACACUCUUUUGUAGCUGCAGGUUUGGGGGGGCAAUAGUUAAAGAGUGCCAUGAAUAAAUCAAUGUAAAUAAAUAUUCCAUAGAUAUAUAAUCUGAUAAAUAAACCAUAACAAAUACUUUUAAAUAAAGGGUAAAGGAAAGGAAACUCUUCCUUUUAAAAGGUCAAAUAGAUUUCAGCCAGAUGAAAGGAGUCUCACAAGUGGCUCUCCCUAGACAGCUCAUUUUGCUUGCAUAAGGUGGCAUAUUGGAAACGUGUUCCUCGCGAUCGGUCAACCCUGCUUGUCAUUUUCAUGCUAUAGUGUUACCUCUUGUCUCUCGAGGCAGUCUGAAUUUUCCUGUCCUCCUUGUACCUGAACGCAGCGGUAAGAGCAACUUCCAUUUGAGGCAGAAAAGUAAUGGCAGCUCUCUGAGAUGAGUAUCCCUCCUUCUCUGAUGUGCAUUCAAGUCAAGUCACAAAAAUAGCCUUUCAAAUGUGUACGCACACACACAUACGCACGCGCUCACAAACCAGACACUUAUCAGACACACCCAGGCUCCCGGAUACAUUCGCACUUACACACAUGCACACAGGAAAAUAAGGAGUUGUCACAUUAGGUUAUGGAGUAAUGCUGAAACUAUCUUUAAGAAACAGCAAAAUGCAAUAUUCUCUGAAUGCAAAUCAUUAUCAUACAUGCUAAAACCCCAUGUUGUUAAAAGUACGUAAUCUGGUUAUAUCUUCCAAAUAAUACAAGAACAAACCAAAUCACUUUAUGGAUGCUGUCGUUCACCCACAAUGCUUUAUCGUGCUUUGUGAGGCACAGAAUGACAUUUGACAACAUCUAUCUCGCUUGCC